rnacentral:rRNA from 1 species
CGCGCAGGCGGCCCGAUAAGUCAGAGGUGAAAUAUGACGGCUCAACCGUCAAACUGCCUCUGAAACUGUCAGGCUUGAGUUCGAGAGAGGUAGGUGGAAUUCCAGGUGUAGCGGUGAAAUGCGUAAAUAUCUGGAGGAACACCGGUGGCGAAGGCGGCCUACUGGCUCGAUACUGACGCUCAGGCACGAAAGCAUGGGGAGCGAACAGGAUUAGAUACCCUGGUAGUCC